rnacentral:misc_RNA from 1 species
AAGCAAUCGACCUCUAACUACGCCCCUUUGAUCACACUUAGGAAACUCUUCAGAAGUUGGGAAACUGUAAGGCCAGGAUUCGACUUCUUCGUUCAUCUGUCUUUUCGCAUCAUCCCAAAGAGAUAGAGCCAUGUCUUUGUCUGAUACAGAAUUAAAAUAUGUGAACACGGGGCCGAGGACUUUCUUCCACUCCUCCCCAGUUUCAAAUUUUACCAGAAGCUCUGUACCAGCAUAGUGGGAAGUUAGAAAUAUAGCAAGGGUGGUCGGGUUCACGUGGGAGGUUAAAUCUUGUUUAAAUGGCCCUCCUGUUCGAAAUUCAUUGCUCGGAGUAAUUUGCCAAAACCCCACAGGAGGGUCAAAAGAUAUCCAUCCAUGCACUUGAUUAUCUUUGUUUUCAAGUGAAUACUGAUAUUUGUCAUCCACCUCUCCUUUGAACUCUGGCUCAAUAGGAUCGACAAGGAGAACCGCUUCAGGAUAGGCUAAUGGUUCGCCUCUACCUGGAAGUCGGUCUUCUGCACUAGGCAUAAAUCUUUGUCUAUCAUCUGUUAUGACCAUGUAGUGAAACUUUUCUUUAUUGAGCAUGAAAGCAAUUCUCGUUGUGUUAAGGUGGAAAGCAGGCAUGUCUUUCGUGUGCUCAAAGAUGGCAUAUGAAUAAAAUCCCGGAACAUCACGAAAUACUACAAACCUCCUAUCAAUAUACAAAGG